rnacentral:sRNA from 1 species
GCUGACUUAGUGGCUGCAACCCGAAGCUUCAGACUACAGGAGGGGUUCCCUACCACGGCGGGAUUCUUUCCUUGACUGCAGGACACCCAGAGAAGGGAAACCUGAGCAGGACCUGGAGGUCAACCUGAGAUGAAGUCCGGGGUAACCAAGGCAGCUCCAGUUCAAAGGACAGUACAGAGAAAAGAGAAACCCAGAGAUGGGCAGUGGCUCCUCUUCCUCACGCAUCCACGGAACACGUGACAGCACGUGACACAAAGCUGCACUGUCCAGGUUCAAGCAUUCUGAGGAUACAAGCCACACUCGGCAACUUUCACAGGCACAAGGAGCCACCAGAACACAAAAAGCAGUUGCUUAAUGUCUUUGGUAACUUUCCUUCUGAGUGUUGGAGCAGAAGGGACUUCCUGAUCAAACCAGCCUGGAAUAGAGGUGGCUGCCACGUUGAGCAACCUGGAGAAACAGCCAAAUGACCUUAACGACCCACCACAAAAGCCGACCUCUGUCAACCGUAACACUCGGCUUUAAAGGCCGACUGCCUCGUGGCUUCUCUAACAUCUCACUUGCUUACCCGCCCCACCCUGUGGAUCUGGAGUAUAAACUGAAGAUGCAAGCUGGACCCAGUACCGGAGCCUUUCAGGAGUGCCCUGGCUUCAGUCCACCAGUGAGAUCUCUCUUCCACUCUCACUGGUCUCCGAGUGCUUAUUCCAGAAAGAGUCUACAACAAAGUCUCUCCUGAGAUCUUGAAUGGGCAAAUAACUUGGUUUUGGACUGGCGGACAGGAACUUUGGCAUGAGCAGCCAUCCGCAUUGAGGCCUUACAGGGGUAAAAGGAAGUGUCUUUGAAUAUGCCUCCAAUCCCACGGGAGAUCUGAACCAGUGGUCAUCUGUUCUCUGGCUGCUAGGCAAGAGGUUAGUGCCCUGAGGAUAAGACGUGAAGAACACUGAAUGGGCUAGCUCAAGGCCAGCUAUGAUCCAGAUGAGCCUGCUCAAGGACCCCAAAAUAGAUUUAAGAGCUACUAGGUUUCGAAAGCUUAUGCCAUUCCCAGUGAACCGUGUCUCAUGAAGGUGUCAGCUCUCAGCUACAGCCCCAGCACCAUGCCUGCCUGCCGUCGUGCUCCCACCAUGAUGGUCAUGGACUUUCCCUUUCUUAUCUAAGUUGUCUUGCUUGGUCUCAGUGCUUUGUCACAGCAGUAGAAAAGUAAGGCAGACUACUUGCAUUUAUUUUUAUCAUCAAAAUUUUUGUUUUACUAUAAAGUGUCCAUGCUUCAAUUAAUGUCUAUAUGUUUUGUAGGUAGUAUACUUAAAGACCUUCCUGAGGUUUCUUUUUUUUUUUCUUUUCCAGAUAAUUCACUGUUAGUCUCUACCAAAGCUAUCAAUUUUUCUAUAUUGACUUUCUAACCUUUCUUUAACAGAAUACUUGGGGGUGUCUUAUCUAGAGCAUACUUGUCAUCUUCCAAUAGUAAGAAUUUUACUUCUCCUUUUUCUUUCUUUCUUUCUUUCUUUUUUUUUUUUU